rnacentral:ncRNA from 2 species
AUCUUAUCAAGAGAGAUGGAGGGACAGGCCCUGUGAAGUCUCAGCAACCGCCAAUAUGGAAAGGUGCUAAUUCCUGCAGGAACAAUCAUUCCUGGCCGAUAAGAA